rnacentral:rRNA from 1 species
AACGAACGCUGGCGGCAGGCUUAACACAUGCAAGUCGAACGCAUCGCAAGAUGAGUGGCAGACGGGUGAGUAACGCGUGGGAACAUACCCUUUUCUACGGAAUAGCUCUGGGAGACUGGAAUUAAUACCGUAUACGCCCUUUACUGGUGGACAGUUUAGGGGAAAGAUUUAUCGGGGAAGGAUUGGCCCGCGUUGGAUUAGCUAGUUGGUGGGGUAACGGCCUACCAAGGCGACGAUCCAUAGCUGGUCUGAGAGGAUGAUCAGCCACAUUGGGACUGAGACACGGCCCAAACUCCUACGGGAGGCAGCAGUGGGGAAUAUUGGACAAUGGGCGCAAGCCUGAUCCAGCCAUGCCGCGUGAGUGAUGAAGGCCUUAGGGUUGUAAAGCUCUUUCACCGAUGAAGAUAAUGACGGUAGUCGGAGAAGAAGCCCCGGCUAACUUCGUGCCAGCAGCCGCAGUAA